UUGAGAAAGAGAGAAGUAUCGGGAGGAAAUUCCACUGCAUUGAGUCAAAACAGCAGAUAAUGUAAUUGGUUACCGUGCAUUGAAAGCUUUUGGCUGCUCAUGUAAAUUUGAGACUUCUCUGCCAAAGACAGAAGUGAAAUGACUGCUAAGAAAUUUGAACUAGAGUGCAAUGGACUGCUGAAGUCAUGGGAAUUAGACCAGUGAACUGCAUGAGUAUACCUACAGCAGUGCUGUAUGGUUCCUUAUCUCUGUUUGUCUCCAUUCUGCACAAUGUGUUCCUCCUAUACUACGUAGAUACAUUUGUAUCUGUUUACAAAAUUGAUAAAGUAUCCUUCUGGAUUGGGGAGACCAUUUUUCUACUAUGGAACAGUCUUAAUGAUCCACUAUUUGGGUGGCUUAGUGACCGCUCAUUUCUGAGCACACAGCAAUCAGGUGCUGCGAUCCCGACUCCAGAAGUGGUAUUGAAACGACUGAAGGCGUUAAUGCGAAAUGGUCCUCUGUUUGCUUUAUCAUUCCUCUCUUUCUGGGUGGUUUGGGCCCGCCCAGGAGUACAAUUUCUCAUCUGCCUUUGUCUGUAUGAUGGAUUCCUCACCCUGGUGGACCUUAAUCAUAAUGCCUUACUGGCAGACCUGGCAGUAUCGGAAAAGGACAGGACUAGACUGAAUUUUUACUGUUCCCUUUUUAGCGCACUUGGCUCCUUGUCUGUAUUUAUGUCCUAUGCAGUGUGGAACAAGGAAAACUUUCUCUCAUUUAGACUCUUCUGCGUAGCAUUGGCUGCCUUUUCGACUCUAGGUUUUAGUUUCUGCACCUGGAUUCUCAGACAGCGAUUUCAGUUGGAGCUCAAAGUCAAAUACGAGGAGGCUUCCAUACUAGAGGAAUUAUACAUUAGUCAAACGCCUCAUACUCAGGAACUGACACUGGCAGAAUACCUGAAACAACUUUCUAGACAUCGGAACUUUGCUUGGUUUGUGACCAUGAACUUGGUGCAGGUAUUUCACUGCCACUUCAACAGUAAUUUCUUUCCAUUGUUUAUGGAGCACCUCCUUUCAGACAAGAUUUCACUCUCCACAGGAUCCUUUCUCCUAGGUGCAUCAUACAUUGCUCCACACCUAAACAACCUCUAUUUCCUGUCACUGUGCCACAGAUUUGGGGUGUAUCUGGUUAUCCGAUGGUUAUUCUUCAUAAAACUGACAAUGAGUUUGAUGAUGUUACUGGCAGGACCAGAUCAAAUCUACCUACUUUGUUUCUUCAUUGCCAGUAACCGGGUGUUUACAGAGGGAACAUGUGAACUCCUGAACCUCGUCAUCUCCGACCUUGUAGAUGAAGAUUUUGUGAUGAACAAGAGGAAGCAGGCAGCAUCAGCACUGCUUUUUGGCAUGGUUGCCUUGGUAACCAAACCCGGACAGACAUUUGCCCCAUUAAUCGGGACGUGGCUUUUGUAUGUUUACACAGGGUAUGACAUUUUUCAGCACGAUGCACUACGUGAUAUUGUGAGCACAAAGCCAGUGGUGGAAUCAAAUGUGGCCUGGAUGACAGCAAUUCGCCAAGGGUGCUUUUACCUGCUGGUCUUCGUACCUAUCACGUGUGCUGUGCUGCAGCUUCUGGCCUGGUCUCAGUUCAACCUCCAUGGUAAAAGACUGCAGACAAUCAAAUCAUUGAGGCAGAGUACAUACCAGGUAGACCUACAGGACAUUAAAGCUGUUUAGGUUAUCAGCGUAAAUGUGCAGGGGCCAACACAUCUGUCAUGUCUAGUAUAUUAGACAUGAUGUUUUUAAUUGCCACUUCAGCUCAGGAUAUGGAACUUUCACUUUCAAUGUAAUAAUAUUUUUGUUCAGAAAUUUUGAGUAUGAAUUUUGGAAACUUCAUUAAUGUAGCAAAAGACAAGUAGUUCGUAAGACCAUUGUGCCUGAUCAAUUUUCUUUUUAAUUUAACUUCUAAUGUUCACUGGACGAGACUACAAAUUGUACUUUAAUGUCUAGAGUACAUUUCAAGAAUCAUUUAAUGUGUUAAGGAUGCACAAGGUCUUAAGAUUUGCAGAGUCUGUAUUCCCCCAUCAUGUUGCAAAAUUCAGCAGAGUAUAAUUCCACAAUCAACCAAUUACCCUUGGGGCCAUCUGUUUGCAUGUGUAAUUUUAAAUUUGGAUUGACCUAAAGAUUGAUACUGCCCUGUUGGUAUUGUUCUGCACUGAACUUUGUUGUUGCUGAGUAACAUUCCCUUACAUCAGCCAUUGGCUGAAGCAGAGAGUUAAAUGUUGGCCUUCCACUUCCUUUGGAGCUGCAUUAAAUUCCACCCAAAUCAGAAAUCUCUCUGCUGUCUGGAUGUGAAAUUAGUUUGACAGUUUCACUUCAAUGUCCGAGUGGGCUAAGCUUCAAGCACCAAACUUUUAAUUUGGCAGUCUCUUUGCAGGAUGGCUGGAGAUUUUAAGGAAAAGAAAGUGUCACAAUAGGACAGGAAGAUGGCCUCUUGUAAAGUGGUAGCCGAGGCACCUUGAGGUAGAAAAGGAGGAGUCUUAUCUAGAAUCUAACCAUGUUGUACCUAACCUGACAGUGAGCAUUUAAUGCUGAGACUUUGUGUCCAUAAUGGAAAAUUUUCCAUUCCAUAGCAUUCACAAAACUGACCUGAAUGAGAAACAGAAUUUACUGAAUCAAAAUCAAAAGGCAGUGGGCGUGAGACUAAAUUGGACCUGCCUCAAUGGCUUUGAGAAUGCUUGUACAUUGCCAGGACAUUUUCUGUCCUGCUAUGAGGAGGAAUCUCAGAAAUCAGCAACAAUUGCCUCAUGUAACAGAGGCUCAUGGUGGAAGUUGAGGGUGAUUUAUAGACAUCAUAUUUGAGCGUGUUAACUUAUAACGGUCUCCCAGACCAUCUGGCAGCGUUGUGUUUAACAAUAAUGUGCAACCUGAAACUCAAAUGGAGCCAUCUAAUUAUUCAUUUUAUAUGGAACUCUCUGAAGCCAUUGCUAGUUUGAGUGUUAAGUUUGCACUUCAAACUUCUGGACCAGAAACCAACUUCAUUUGUCCAGCUUUUAAUGUAAAUUGUGUUGAAGAUUAUAUAUUUAAUGUCUCAUGUAAAGCUUUGAAAGCCUAAUUUACAAUCCUUAAUAGCACAUUAAGUAAAAUCACCAGAAGUGCCAAAUUAUAUUUAGAAGAAUUUGCAUAAAUUAUUUUCAAAUACUUGUAUGCACUCUUGCAUUUAUUUAUUUUCCAGCUCUCUUUUUUUUUUCCCCCUUGACUCUGGGUUUUACUGUCCCUUUUGCCUUUCCCAUUGCAAAUAUAUGGUCGGAGGCUGGGAGCUCCAACAGUGGGAAAAUCACAUUUUGAUCCCGAGCCAUCAUGGAGAUGGAGCAGGGUGGAUUGGCCAGUAUUUUCUCCUGUCCAUCACUUUGUAUUUCAUCAUUGUCCAUUUUUAGCAGUUCUUCAGAUAGUUGAAUUCCUGGACUUCCUGUAUGUCUUUUGUAACUAUGUAAAUGUAAGAGAAUUUGAUGUUUUCCAUUUACAACUGUCUGUGUGAGAUGAAAUUCCUAAGCAGUGAUCCUGAUUUUUAGUUGCAUCCACUGCCAACCUGUUUCAUAUUAAUGUAACUUUGAAAUACAGUUAAUGACUGAAGACUUCUGAAGGCAAGAAUGGUUUUUCUGUGAUUUCGUUUGUCACUCUGCAGAUUUGCACCUGUUCUCCAGUACAGGGACUGACGGGGUGGCCAGUCUUUCAGCCUUCUGGCCCUUGCUUCAUUGACAGUAAGCUGUUAGAGAACAUGAGUGAUCAAGGCUGACUUUUAUUUUAGUCUGGUUUUUACAUGAUAAACCUGAGUAUUGACACCUAGUAGGACACUGGCAUUGGACUCUCAAUUAGGAUUUGGUUCCUGUUAUCUAAUUCUGGGACAUGGGAACAUCACUCGGGUUCUAACAUCUGGUAAUAACUGCUUCUCACCAAUUUGUAUCCUGAUCAGGAAGAAAUACCCUCCCGUGAAUUGGAACAACGGUGUGCUUUAUAAUGCUGCAUACAUCGGCUCAAAGAUAUUGCUUUUAAAACCUCUGAAGUGUGAGAAGGAAGCCAAAUAUAUUUCACCUUUUAUUUUAUUCCUGUAAGAUUUAAUUGAUUUUAUGUUCAGGAAUGAGAUGAAAUGAAGACAUUUGUGAAAUAAGUCACUGCUUUUAAGUUGUAGCAAGCCAGAAAGUUUUGUUAUAUUAAAUGUUACUUGCAAUAUUCUAAAGAUUUUGAAAUAACUAUUCAGCAAACAAAAUAAAGAUUUGUUUGAUGUAAAA